CUGAAUUAGUCAGCGCUGGUGACGAUUGACGCUCUUCAGGCGCUUUCUAGUUUAGU
ensembl:miRNA